UGGGGAAUCUUGGACAAUGGGGGCAACCCUGAUCCAGCCAUGCCGCGUGAGUGAUGAAGGCCUUCGGGUCGUAAACUUCUGUCAGAUGGGAAGAAGGUUUGUAGGUUAAGAGCUAGUGAACUUGACGGUACCAUCAGAGGAAGUCCCGGCUAACUCCGUGCCAGCAGCCGCGGUAAUACGGAGGGGACAAGCGUUAUUCGGAUUUAUUGGGCGUAAAGGGCGCGUAGGCGGCCCGAUAAGUCCAAGGUGAAAGCCCUCGGCUCAACCCGAGGAACUGCCUUGGAUACUGUCGGGCUCGAGGCUGGAAGAGGGUGAUGGAAUUGCCCGGUGUAGCGGUGAAAUGCGUAGAUAUCGGGAGGAACACCGGUGGCGAAGGCGGUCACCUGGGCCAGUACUGACGCUGAGGCGCGAAAGCGUGGGGAGCAAACAGG
rnacentral:rRNA from 1 species